rnacentral:lncRNA from 1 species
UGGGAGGUGGCAUAUGAUGCAUCAGUUCCUCCGGUUUUUUGGAGAGCAAGAGUGGGUGCCGUGGUGGUGACAAGUGGAGGGUGGGGAGAGCCAAGUUGGAACCUCAUAAUUUAUUUGGAAAAAUGACUUAUGAAAAAGGAAAGGACAAUCUUAUGUUUAUGUGGAGCAAUGAGGAUUGAUAUUUCCAUCUAGAUUCGAUCUCUAGACAUUUAUAUUCGUACUAUAUGUAUCCUAUUGAAGAUAUCAUUUUCACUCCUUUGUUAAUUUUAUUUCGACCAUAAUAUCUAGGAUAUCUUGGACUCGAGUGGUGGUUUGGUGGUAGCGAGCAUAUGACGCGUCACCUCCACCGUUAUUCUAGAGAGCAAGAGUGGGUGCCAGUUCUUCUACACAUGGAUUGAGUGGUGGCGACAGGUGGAGGGAGGGGAGAGCCAGGUUGGAACCUCGUAAUUUAUUUAGACAAAUGACAUAUGACAGAUGAAAGAAUAGUCUUAUAUUGAUGUGGAGCAACGAGGAUCGAGAUUUUCAUCCAGGUUUCGAUCUCCAAACAUUUAUAUUCGUACUAUACAUAUCGUGUUAAAGAUAUCACUUUCACUCUUUCUUUGUUAAUUUUAUUGGGGCCAUAAAUAUCUAUGAUAUCUGGGACUCGAGUAGUGGUUUGGUGGGAGGUACAUAUGACGUGUCACCACUACUGCUAUCAUUAUGGAGAGCAGGAGCGGGUGCCCAUCCUCUUACAGCCGGGCUGCAGCGGUGACCGAUGGAGAGAGGGGAAAGUGGAAC